GCUGCGGGGUCUCGGGGCCCCGGCUAGUUCCCGCCGUGCGGAGCCGAAGGUGCGCAUGCUCCGCAGAGGCCCGCACGGGGCCUGAGUAAACCCUGAUAGAGCCAUCGCGAGGCGGGGUUAUUGCUGGAAUGAUGGUGGUUUGGGGAACUCUUUUUCUGGUGAGGCGGUGAAGUGGGAAGGUGAUAAUUUAAAAAUUGCUUUCUUGAUACAUCGUUGGAGAAGACUCUUGAGAGUCCCUUGGACUGCAAGGAGAUCCAACCAGUCCAUUCUGAAGAUCAACCCUGGGAUUUCUUUGGAAGGAAUGAUGCUAAAGCUGAAGCUCCAGUACUUUGGCCACCUUAUGUGAAGAGUUGACUCAUUGGAAAAGACUCUGAUGCUGGGAGGGAUUGGGAGCAGGAGGAGAAGGGGACGACAGAGGAUGAGAUGGCUGGAUGGCAUCACGGACUCGAUGAACGUGAGUCUGAGUGAACUCCGGGAGUUGGUGAUGGACAGGGAGGCCUGGCGUGCUGCGAGUCAUGGGGUCGCAAAGAGUCGGACACAACUGAGCGACUGAACUGAACUGAACUGAACUGAUACAUCUUUCCAUUAUUUAUUCUUAAAAAACAUAAACAAAGACAUGUCUGUGUUUGUAUUCCACUUCCUCUCCUUCUUUUUUCGAAAGCUCUUAUAUUCAUUGCUGAUUCCACAGGUAGUGUAUUCUGAUUAUUUCAAAGUUGUAGAUAGG